rnacentral:misc_RNA from 1 species
CUGGGUAAGAGGGCUUCGGUUGAUAGACAAGGGUUUGGUGAGAUUUCUCUUGGCAAAUAUGCUAAAAAGGCCAAGAGUGGUGAUGAGGACUCUGGCAAAGAUAUCAAGGGAAAAUCUCCCUUAAAAAUAUCCUCUAGUCAAGUCAAUGUUGCUGGUUCCCUUUCUGAACAAUCCGAAAGCAUGAAAAUGGGAAAAGGUUCUGAAGAUCCUAAAGGCUACCUUGAUAGUCAGGGAAAUGAAGAUGAAGAAUUCAAUGAUAGUGAGGAUGAUUUGUUGGAUUCUCAGGAGUUGGAUGAAUUCAUUAAGGAUGAUGAUUUUAU